UCUGUGAUGCUUUUUAAAUCCAGACUUCACUACAUACUGAACUGAAUUCAUCAGCUUAUUAAACAGUAUGUGCUGUUGUUGGAGAAUGUCAAAACAUUCUGCUUGACAUUCCAACAGAAGGCUAUGUAUCAGAUCUGAUAUUUCUUGCUGAACAGACUGAAUUACAUGCUUAGUUUUGGCAGACAUGAUUAUAUCAUAC
rnacentral:lncRNA from 1 species